AACGAACGCUGGCGGCAGGCCUAACACAUGCAAGUCGAGCGAAGCCUUCGGGCUUAGCGGCGGACGGGUGAGUAACGCGUGGGAACGUGCCCUUUGGUACGGAAUAGCCCCGGGAAACUGGUAGUAAUACCGUAUGUGGUCGAGAGACGAAAGAUUUAUCGCCAAAGGAUCGGCCCGCGUUGGAUUAGGUAGUUGGGGGGGGAAUGGCCUACCAGGCCGACGAUCCAUAGCUGGUUUGAGAGGAUGAUCAGCCACACUGGGACUGAGACACGGCCCAGACUCCUACGGGAGGCAGCAGUGGGGAAUCUUAGACAAUGGGGGAAACCCUGAUCUAGCCAUGCCGCGUGAUCGAUGAAGGCCUUAGGGUUGUAAAGAUCUUUCAGUGGGGAAGAUAAUGACUGUACCCACAGAAGAAGCCCCGGCUAACUCCGUGCCAGCAGCCGCCGUAA
rnacentral:rRNA from 1 species